rnacentral:rRNA from 1 species
UACGGGGGGGGCAAGCGUUGUUCGGAAUUACUGGGCGUAAAGGGUUCGUAGGUGGCCAAUUAAGUCAGACGUGAAAUCCCUCAGCUCAACUGGGGAACUGCGUCUGAGACUGGAUGGCUUGAGUGCAGGAGAGGAACGCGGAAUUCCAGGUGUAGCGGUGAAAUGCGCAGAUAUCAGGAGGAACACCAAUUGCGAAGGCAGCUCGCUGGGACGUUACUGACGCUGAGACGCGAAAGCGUGGGGAGCAAACAGG